CUUGGUUACAUGAGAGCCUGUGUCAAAAAGCAAAUUAAUUUCAAUAUUGAAGUUUUAUUUCCUUUUUGGGGUGGUGGUGGUUCUCACUAUAUAACCCUGGCUGGUCCAUCAUUAUGUAGUCCAGGCUGGCCUUGAACUAACAAGAGUUCUGCCUCUACCUCCUGAGUACCAUGAUUCCUGACCCCCCCCAUUUGUUUUGAGACGGUAUCUUUCCAGGUAGCCCAGGCUGGUUUUGAACCUCCAACCCUUCAGCCUCAGCUUCCUGAAAACUGGGUUCAGAAGUUCACACCACUAAGCACAGCUUGUUCUAAAUUAUAUGAACCUUUUCUCUGUCUCUCCCUUUGUGUGUGUGUUUUCUGUCCAGAAACUCCACCAAUUUUCCAAUUUCCCUGGGAGUAUAAAGGCACUUUCCAGCUUUGCAGGAGAGAAAGACUGUGUUUCUCUGUGUAGCCCCGGCUGUCCUGGAACACCACUCUGUAGACCAGGCUGGGAUUAAAGGCAUGUGCCACCACCACCUUCUGGUAUGUAGUGUUCAAAGGACAUUUGCAGGACAGUUUUGUGGCUGUAGUUCUCUUUCCACCAAGAAGGUCCAGGGAACUGAACUGAGGUCACCAGGCCAGGUGGUUAUACCAUUACUUGCUAGUCUUCUCACCAGAUCAAGACAUUGAGGAGUUUGUCCCCAGAGCGAUUACCUCUCAUUUCCUCUUUUAGGGGCCUUUUCUGCUGUUCCGGGCCUCCCUCCGCCUCCACCUCAGGCAAGAGCAAUGAAAGAAUGGGAAAUCGAAAACGUGUCCCUGGCCUAGGAGGGAAUUUCUCUAUCUGGACUCUCCAGCCUUCUGCUUCUGGGGUCCUAAGAGGUUCCUGACAGGAAGCCCC
rnacentral:lncRNA from 1 species